GAUGAACGCUGGCGGCGUGCCUAAUACAUGCAAGUCGAGCGAACAGACGAGGAGCUUGCUCCUCUGACGUUAGCGGCGGACGGGUGAGUAACACGUGGAUAACCUACCUCUAAUACUGGGAUAACUUCGGGAAACCGGAGCUAAUACCAGAUAAUAUAUUGAACCGCAUGGUUCAAUAGUGAAAGACGGUUUUGCUGUCACUUAUAGAUGGAUCCGCGCCGCAUUAGCUAGUUGGUAAGGUAACGGCUUACCAAGGCAACGAUGCGUAGCCGACCUGAGAGGAUGAUCAGCCACACUGGAACUGAGACACGGUCCAGACUCCUACGGGAGGCAGCAGUAGGGAAUAUUCCGCAAUGGGCGAAAGCUUGACGGAGCAAUACCGCGUGAGUGAUGAAGGUCUUCGGGUCGUAAAACUCUUUUGUUAGGGAAGAACAAAUGUGUAAGAAACUAUGCCCGUCUUGACGGUACCUAAUCAGAAAGCCACGGCUAACUACGUG
rnacentral:rRNA from 1 species